AUCAAUUAAAAAAGUUAGUCGGAGAAGGAAAUGGAAAAAAAAGAGAGAAGAGCUCACAAACAAAGGAUUAAAGAAGGAUACUUUACCAAUAAGGCAAGCUAAAGGGGGAUGAGAGAGACUUGGUCCACACGAAUCAUCAUCUUACUCUAUUUAUUUUUCUUCUUUCCUCUUUCAUUUUCUAGUUCCCCUAGUUUGGUUUUCGUUUAGAUUAAUUUCAUUUAUAAUAAAUAUAUAAUGACUAACUACGAUUAAAAAAAAUUUGAAUAAUUUUACUUGUGGGGUUGUUGUAACUUGUAUAGUCAAGGUGGACAAAGACAAAAAUAUACUUUCUUCUCUGUUUAUUCUUCUUCUAGAAAAUGGAAUAAGCCUCUUGGUACAUGUUCAAAA